UCGACGAAACAGGGGUGCUUCGUGCACGGCCGGCAGAGAUACCGGCGCCGCAGCGAGGCUGAGAGAGACCCUUCGCACCCGAUCCGGGUAAUACCGGCGCGGGAAGUUUCCGAUCCCGCCGG
rnacentral:ncRNA from 1 species